GUUGCAAAUGGCAAGAGUUCCUUCCUUUUUACAGCAGCAUAGUAUUCCAUUGUGUAGAUGUACCACUGACCCUUGAUCCCAGCUUCCAGCUCACCUGUCACUAAAGCUGCCAGUGCCUGAGGGCUCAGUGACGAUCCAUGUGCUGUGUUGUCAGGGAUGAAUGGGCAGCAAUGGCACCCAACAUUACACAUGUUCUUCCUUUUUCUCCCAGAAUCAGAUCCUAGGCCAGCCUGUUCUCCCAGGUCACCCUGCUGCUGGCUUCUAGCUGUUCACUAUCCCUGUAGCUGCAUCUCAAGUGUAGUUAAAGAGCCUUUGCUGGUUCUAGUAAAUAGAAUUAAUCCACCACAUUCUUGUUCGCAGUGGCCACCAGCACAGGAUAGACUCAAAUCCUGCGGCAAUCUGAUUUAUAGCCUUAAACUCUAUGGCACUCCUCCUGUCACCCCAAUGGGGAUCAAAGGAGCCCCCUGGACCUUCUCCUAUUCCUAGUUUGUCUGUCCAUUAAAAAAGGUUUAUGAUAUGCCAAAGUGAAAGGGAUAGCUAAUUGUAUCAGAGUGCAAGUUCCACUCCAUUUGCUAGGCAAGGUCACAAGUAAGGAUCCCCCAUAAUACCACCAGACAGUGCAGCACGAUGGGCUUCUGAGGAUACUCGGCCAUUUACGCAUCCAGAUACGUUUCUCAUAAACUCCGAACACUGUUCCUACUCUUGAGAAGCAUGAGGUAUAGUUUAUAUCAGAGGACAGGCCAGAUCGUUUUUUUUUUGUUU